AUGUUAUGGGAAUUCCUCAAAAUAGCUGUGAACAUAUCUUUGUGGUUAACUAUCUAUACAUCUCUACGUGUUAAUUGGCCCAUUCGAGGCAUAUUGACAUAUUUCACAAGCUUCGCAUGUGCGCAUGCGCACCACGGCCUUUCCGCCCAGCCCGCAGCGCUGCACGCACUUCCUCAUUGGCAGAGACGGCAAAAGGUUUUCACACCAGCGACGUUUGUGUCAGACAGAAACCGUACCGCGGGUUUCGUUUGUUCACCUGUCGAGCCUCGCAAAUGUCGAAGCCACCUCCGAAGCCGGCCAAACCAGAGAGGACCAGCACGGUGGAUCAACGGCCUCCAGGGACGAUCGAUAGGGGGAUCUAACUCUUCGCAGCGGGCCCGUGUGACUUCCCUAUUUCCAUCACACACGCUAGAACAGUGCGCUCAUUGAGUGGCUUCGUGCUGUAGGUUAGGAGGUGACAAGGAGUCACCAUGCUCGGUGACAGCAGCGUCACUUCCUUCAUGGCCCAGUGUGCCGGUGGCUCCAUCCUAGAAAUGAGUGUAUGACUGCUGGUUCGCUCAAAAGCACAUUUAAUGUGCGUGCACAUGACUUUAGAUGGGAAGGCAAGACACCUUCAUUUUGUGGAGGAAACCCUGCAGGUUGUUUCUGCGCAACCAGGUGUCAUGGCAAAAUUGAAAGGCUAACAUUAGAAAAUAAUUUCAUCUUCACAUCUGGUGUAAAAACAUGCGCUCGGUUUUUCGGUUGGCUGGUUGUUCCCGUUGACAAACGUAUACCGAUCUUUCUCAACGUGGAUAUUUAGUUUGCCUUUACUGACACUGACUGGAAUGAGAUGAGACAAAAUACGUGAAUGAUAAAGCACAAAGUUCAAUAAACAGUUUUCAGUUAUCACCAACUUGGAUUCAUCGCAGGGGCGAUUUCAGCUGGUGUCUGAGAGUAGCUCUGAGAAUCUAUGGAAACGCACGCUGUGCAGUAAAUUUCUGCAGACAUCUGUACGGUUUUUCAGGCCUCGGCCGAGGCCCACGCAGUGAAAACAAAGCGCACGCGCCUCCAUCGACGGAUGGACGUACAGGCGGCGUUAUCGCUCAUGCUGGCCGCGGUGACGGCAGGUGAGAUCGUCUGUCCCGCGUCCGUCUCGACGGGCGGCUGGUUGGUGUCUUCCGUUAACCCCUCACAGGGGUCACGGCUGGUGGUGUGGCUGAUGGAUCUUCACUGGAUCGUGAGCAUCUUGCAGGAGAUAUUCUCACGCCGUGAUGUGCAGGUUUUGGGCGCUUCUGAAAUAGUUGUCCUCUCUGUUCUCUCAGCUUGUUGGACACUUUGAGGAG
ensembl:lncRNA